UUCGGUCUGCUACCUCUUACCCAUGUCUUUUGAGUACCUUCGUUUCCUCGGCGGGUCCGCCCGCCGGUUGGACAACAUUCAAACCCUUUGCAGUUGCAAUCAGCGUCUGAAAAAACUUAAUAGUUACAACUUUCAACAACGGAUCUCUUGGUUCUGGCAUCGAUGAAGAACGCAGCGAAAUGCGAUAAGUAGUGUGAAUUGCAGAAUUCAGUGAAUCAUCGAAUCUUUGAACGCACAUUGCGCCCCUUGGUAUUCCAUGGGGCAUGCCUGUUCGAGCGUCAUUUGUACCUUCAAGCUCUGCUUGGUGUUGGGUGUUUUGUCUCGCCUCCGCGCGCAGACUCGCCUUAAAACAAUUGGCAGCCGGCGUAUUGAUUUCGGAGCGCAGUACAUCUCGCGCUUUGCACUCAUAACGACGACGUCCAAAAGUACAUUUUUACACUCUUGACCUCGGAUCAGGUAGGGAUACCCGCUGAACUUAAGCAUAUCAAUAAGCGGAGGAA
rnacentral:rRNA from 1 species